UACGCAGGGGGCUAGCGUUGCUCGGAAUCACUGGGCGUAAAGGGUGCGUAGGCGGGUCUUUAAGUCAGGGGUUAAAUCCUGGAGCUCAACUCCAGAACUGCCUUUGAUACUGAAGAUCUUGAGUUCGGGAGAGGUGAGUGGAACUGCGAGUGUAGAGGUGAAAUUCGUAGAUAUUCGCAAGAACACCAGUGGCGAAGGCGGCUCACUGGCCCGAUACUGACGCUGAUGCACGAAAGCGUGGGGAGCAAACAGG
rnacentral:rRNA from 1 species